GUCUCCGUGGCUUAGUCGGCAGAACACCUGACUAAGGUGCGGUCGGGUUCAAGCCCCGCUGAAGGCA